rnacentral:lncRNA from 1 species
GGGGGGCUGACGGCGACUCCCGAAUCCCCGCCGGGCGGCCAGGUACACUGUUCCACACUUGCACCAACCACCCCAAAAUAAAAGUACACCAAGCUCAAUUUGUGUUGCCAACUACUCACUGAAACAUGAUCUAACUCUUACUGACCAGCCUCUUAAAGAAAACAGAGUCCUUCCCAACCUGGACCAGAAACCAUUAACUCCGAAGAGCUUCACUUCAGCAUCUUUAUCACUAUCUAACUGUCUUUGGAACAAGUGGUGGAACUCUCAGCUCCUCCAGUCUCAUGCCUGCCUGAACAUUGCCAUGCUCCCACCUUGAUGAUAAUCGACUGAACCUUGGAACCUGUAAGCCACCCCAAUUAAAUGUUGUA